GUUAAGGAAAGAGACAAACCCUUGGUGGCUGGGAAAGGUUUCCUUUCCUCUGAUGAGUGGAUUCACGAUGAACACUUGAUGUUAGCUCUGCUUGCCUCUUCAGCUGCAGAGUGGUGGACUCUGGGGACAAUGUGCACCACCAUAAUGUUCCUCUCCACUCUGGCUCUCCUACUGCGCCAGCAUUUUGUCGGCCGAGCACAGACCUUUCCGAAAGACUCGGAGGAGAAGGGAGCGUCCUGCGUGCAGAGCAGCAGAACCUGUAAAUGAGACUCUGGCUCAGUGUGUUAACAGGCAUCUACCACAGAUGUGAGUUUAGAUGUGGACGGUUUUCCUAAGGUCCAUGACCAGAGCCCUGAAUGCUUCUCUCUAUGCCAGAUAUCCUCACAGUCAUCCUCCUCCAUCUUCUCUAACCCACAAACGGACUGAUCCGUAUGACGCAUAUUCCUCAAAAAACAGGCAGUGACUUUGUGCUAUCGUUUUGAAUAUUUGAAUUCACCAUGUCGUCACUCCAAAUUUAACAGACCAUUUUCUUAGCAAAACUCACUGCUCCAGUCACUCGUGAAAUUAUUCAGUCUGUCCGCCAGACAGAACAAAUCCCCAAUAAGGCCAUCCAAAAGUCACUGAAUCAGAUCCAUCCAAGACAGAUGGAUUGUAAAAGGAGUGAAGGAAGCCAUUUUUGUCAAAGUUGAUAAACUAUCUCUCAACAGACAAGCAGGUCUGGGACACCACCUAUCUCCCACCCGACAAAUGCUGUUCUUUCAUCUCAUCCCAGGAGAUCUCAGGUGACUUUAACUCUCACAUGACCACAGUUAAAAACCUGGAGCUCGACCAUAUGUUUGCCCCAAACUUUCAGAAAUAAAGGUUCAGAGGUCUGUGUCUGUAAAGGUCAAUGUCUGUGGUCCAGUGACACUUUUUAUCAUAACUCUGCUACCAGAUCAGAAAUAAACAAAUGCUUUCCA